UUCCAUAGUCUUUGAGCCUGCUGAACAC
rnacentral:sRNA from 1 species